rnacentral:lncRNA from 1 species
CCACCACCUAGAGCUCCACCUUGCUCUAGACUCCUCCUAGCUCCCGAAACUCCACCUCGCACUGGACUCCCCAUAAGGUAGUAAUAUCCUCUCAUCCUCUUCUUUCUCUCUAAAAUAAUCUUAUCACUGUAUAAUACCUUCAAGAUUCCUCUACCAGCUACCGUCCUGUAGUCUCUCGAAUUCAGUCUGCUCAGUGAGAUAAGAUUUCACUUGAAAUCAGAUAUG